rnacentral:rRNA from 1 species
GACGAACGCUGGCGGCGUGCUUAACACAUGCAAGUCGAACGGAAAGGCCCUGCUUUUGUGGGGUGCUCGAGUGGCGAACGGGUGAGUAACACGUGAGUAACCUGCCCUUGACUUUGGGAUAACUUCAGGAAACUGGGGCUAAUACCGGAUAGGAGCUCCUGCUGCAUGGUGUGGGUUGGAAAGUUUCGGCGGUUGGGGAUGGACUCGCGGCUUAUCAGCUUGUUGGUGGGGUAGUGGCUUACCAAGGCUUUGACGGGUAGCCGGCCUGAGAGGGUGACCGGCCACAUUGGGACUGAGAUACGGCCCAGACUCCUACGGGGGGCAGCAGUGGGGAAUAUUGCACAAUGGGCGGAAGCCUGAUGCAGCAACGCCGCGUGCGGGAUGACGGCCUUCGGGUUGUAAACCGCUUUCGCCUGUGACGAAGCGUGAGUGACGGUGAUGGGUAAAGAAGCACCGGCUAACUACGUG